CUUUUCUAAUAGAACGGGCUUAAUUACCGUUUUUCUUCUUCAAAGCAUCUGGUGCUAAUCCAACGGUAUGAUUUUUUCCCCAAAAAAUAUGGAAACUUUAUUAUGUUUUAGUUCAUAUCCACAUAGAAAAGAGAAAGCUGAUUGAGAGGAACGAAACCAAAGAGUAAAGGUGUUUUUGUUUAUAGGUUCACGAAGCUAAGUCCUUCGAACUGAACAGAGAAGCAGAUGAAGCCGACGUCUGCCGGAAGUAGCAGCUCUAGCGGUGGUGGUGAAGGGAGUAGAGGUGGACUCGCCCGCUUCCGCUCAGCGCCAGCCACCUGGUUGGAAGCUCUUCUCGAGGAAGACGAAGAAGACCCAUUAAAACCUAACCAGUGCUUGACUCAGCUACUCACGGGGAAUUCAUCGGCCAUACCUACAAUUCGAAAACCAUUGUCUUUUCAUAACUCGGAUGAUCCAGCUGGGUUAUUUGAAUCGUCUGGUUUUCAAAGACAGAACAGUUCUCCAGCUGAUUUCCUCGGGAAUAAUGCUUCCGAUGCUUACUUGUCUAGCUUUACAGUUGCUGCAAAUUACGACUAUUUAUCGCCAACUAUGGAUGUUUCUCCCUCGAGUAAAAGGGAAAAUGAGCUCGAUACGCAAUUCCCACCAACAAAGUUUCACUCCCACUUGGCAAGACUAAGAGAUAAGAAAAGAGAGCCAAGUGAUCAAAUUUCGGGUGGGAUAUCUAAUCUUUUAGAUGUAGAUAUGGAGAAACUUUUGGAGGUUUCGGUGGCUUGCAGGGUUCGCGCCAAGCGCGGUUUCGCUACUCAUCCCAGAAGUAUUGCAGAGAGGGUUCGGAGAGCAAGGAUUAGUGACCGCAUCAGAAAGCUUCAGGAGCUUCUACCCAACAUGAGUAAGCAAACCAACACUGCAGACAUGCUGGAAGAGGCAGUAGAGUACGUUAAAUAUCUUCGAAGGCAAAUCCAGUGAGAAAGGAGGCAACACCACGGUAUACGACCGGUGCUUCUGUAAAAGAAGAAAGAUUGCCUACUGAGAAACCUGGAUCCUUUGCAGGCUCACAGAACUUCAAACGAAAUGCACGUGCAAAACUAAAGAUUGAUUGGCUACCUAGAGCUUAGCAUAAUUGUCAGCUGCAUAACUGUUUUGCUCAAGUAUACUACGGCUGUUUUCUGAUAAAGUUGGCUGGGUAGAUCCAACAUUGUAAUUACAGGAUUUACCACUUCUGAUGUUGCCUUCUUCAGCAUGCAAUACAGAGAUGUGGCUUCUUCUGAAGAUACAGUAACUAUGGAGUUCAUAUCAGGACCUCUGCUAUGCUUUGCCUAGCCUAAUACUGCGCCACGAACAUCACUUGGUCAAAAGUUACCCGAUUUGACUUUGUAUGCGUUCCCGAGUGCCAAAACAUAAUACCAUGCUUUUGAUCUAUGAGAUUUGUCGGAUUUGGGGGUGUUGAGUUCAGUUCUGUCCUGCUUUAUCCCAACUCCAAACUUCUUAGAUGACACUGUUGACGCGGAUGCCUGCCUUGAUUUCAUUGGCCGCCUUGUUCGCCCCUCAAACUCUGGUGGAUGGACAUCAGCAGCUUCUUUCAUCGUCGCCGUAAAGUUGCUGAGAGGUUAGCUUACUAUGAAAUUUCCUCAAACCUCAUGACUUACUUGACGGGGCCUCUGGUGCAGUCCACAACUACCGCUGCUGAACAAGUUAACGCCUGGUCAUGGAUGUCGGUGCUUCUCCGACUCUAGGGUGCUUCUUCAGCUCUUGCUACAGAGGAAAAAUCUCAAGGAUAUCGUUCAACUGAAAG